GAUGAACGCUAGCGGCAGGCUUAAUACAUGCAAGUCGUGGGGCAGCAGGGGUGUAGCAAUACAUCUGCUGGCGACCGGCAAACGGGUGCGUAACACGUACGCAACCUUCCCGUUACUGUGGCAUAGCCCAGGGAAACUUGGAUUAAUACCACAUAUUAUAUAGAGGGGGCAUCUCCUUUAUAUCAAAGCUUCGGCGGUAACGGAUGGGCGUGCGGUUGAUUAGGUAGUUGGCGGGGUAACGGCCCACCAAGCCUACGAUCAAUAGCUGAUGUGAGAGCAUGAUCAGCCACACGGGCACUGAGACACGGGCCCGACUCCUACGGGUGGCUG
rnacentral:rRNA from 1 species